rnacentral:rRNA from 1 species
UACCCAUCAGAGGGGGAUAACACUUGGAAACAGGUGCUAAUACCGCAUAACAGUUUAUGCCGCAUGGCAUAAGAGUGAAAGGCGCUUUCGGGUGUCGCUGAUGGAUGGACCCGCGGUGCAUUAGCUAGUUGGUGAGGUAACGGCUCACCAAGGCCACGAUGCAUAGCCGACCUGAGAGGGUGAUCGGCCACACUGGGACUGAGACACGGCCCAGACUCCUACGGGAGGCAGCAGUAGGGAAUCUUCGGCAAUGGACGAAAGUCUGACCGAGCAACGCCGCGUGAGUGAAGAAGGUUUUCGGAUCGUAAAACUCUGUUGUUAGAGAAGAACAAGGACGUUAGUAACUGAACGUCCCCUGACGGUAUCUAACCAGAAAGCCACGGCUAACUACGUGCCAGCAGCCGCGGUAAUACGUAGGUGGCAAGCGUUGUCCGGAUUUAUUGGGCGUAAAGCGAGCGCAGGCGGUUUCUUAAGUCUGAUGUGAAAGCCCCCGGCUCAACCGGGGAGGGUCAUUGGAAACUGGGAGACUUGAGUGCAGAAGAGGAGA